UCGCUUCGGCAGCACAUAUACUAAAAUUGGAAUGAUACAGAAAAGAUUAGCAUGGCCCCUGCGCCUCCCCAUAAUAUUUAGGGCAUUCCCUUACAUUC
rnacentral:snRNA from 1 species